GAGCUACAUCCUAAAAACAUUUUUUAAAACUUUUUGUGAAGCUUUUUUUUUCCCCAUUCACAUGAGUUUAAAUAGCAUUGGAGUUAUCAGUUCCAUAACAGUUUGGUAAAAUUCAAUUAUGAAACAAAAUCUGGCCCUGAUGACUUUUUAAUGACUAAUUCUAUGAUAAAAAUGGCAUUACAGAAAAUCAACUAUACUUUAAUUUAAAAAAAAAAGCAUUACAGGUCAGUGGGAGAAUAUGGACACUAUUUGACUAAAGGCAUUGAGACAACUUGGGAAAAAAUGUUCCACCAAUGUCUUAUUACAUUAAAAAUAUAUAUGAUGAGUUCCCUGGUGGCUCAAUAGUUUAAGGAUCUGGCAUUGUCAUUGCAACAGCUUGGGUUGCUGCUAUGGUGGGGGUUAGAUCCCUGGCCCAGGAAUUUAUGCAUGCUGUGGGCUCAGCCAAAAAGAAAAAUAUACAUAUUUAUGUGAGAUCAGAAAUUUAAAUGUAAAAAAAAUCAUAAAUAUAUUAAAAUAUGAAAUAAUGUUUCUAUAAUCUCAGAGUAUGAGGUGUUUCUCUAAAUAUGACACAAAGCUCAGAUACUACUCUUAAAAAUUGAAAUAUUAGAAUAUAUAAAGUCAGAUUUUCCAUAUAAAAAUAUACCAUAACAUGGAUAGAAAAAUUAAGUGCAUGAAAAAAAUUUAUAAAACAUGUAAAAGACAAAUGACUUACUUCCUUAAUUCUUAAAUAGUUUAAAAAUUAGAAUACACUUUAGAAUUGGAUUUGCUUAUUUUUCUAAAGAGAUAAUACAUUAAGUGAUGUUCAGUUUCACUCAUAAUAAGAGAAACACAAAUUUAAACUAUCAUAUGCUAUUAUCCACUUAGCAGAUUGGCUCGACGUCACAUAUAUUGGUGAGGGGUGUAGAAGCAGGGAAUAAGCAUUCUGACAUAUAGUUUUGUGUGGAAUGUAAAUUUGUGCCACCUCUUUUGAUGGCAAUUCAUUAGUAACCAGGAAAAAUUUAAAUGACUAUCUUUCAACCCAGUAGUUCCACCGCUAGAUUAUAUUCAAACAUAUGGAAUUGAUCUUAACAGAUAAUUGUAAUAGGAAGAUGCUAGGGGCAACCUAGAUAGCCAUCAUUAGAGAACUAAUUAAAUGAAACAUGACCAACCAGCUAUGGAAGACCAUUUAACACGAACAAAGAAUGAGGCAGCUCUAUCUGUCCAUAGGGUAAACUCCAAAGUACAUUGUUACAUGAAGAAAAGUAAAGCACUUUCAUAGGUCUUUUUAACCCACAGAUAUAAAGCUACAUAUUGAAACAGCAUGACUCAUGGAGUGAAAUCACAAAGGAACUUUAUUUUGUGUCCCAUUGACCCAUUAAAAGGUAUUCACUGGAGAAGGUCUUCCACCCCUGGGUGAAAAUUCAGUUCCAUGACUUUCCUGAUCAUUCAUGAAUUAUACGCAGUUUAAUAUCACAGUAGAUCACCUACCUCAACUUAGAUAUCUCUGUAUCAUUUAGGAAAUUAGAAUGCCCCAUCCCAUGUCUUAGUCAAAACUGCCAACUCAAAGUUGCACCCCUCCCCCAAGUGAGGUUUGCUCUCUCUAGUUCAACUCUGCUGCCACUUACUGCUUGUCAUUUCUGUCUAGUCCAGGGGGUGAUGAUGAGAGGUAAGGGGAACAGGAAAGUAAAAACUAGGCUCUACUCUCUUAGGAUGGCUUUACACGCUCUAGGUCUGAGAGGUGUUUGAAAUGGACAUUUCACUCAGAUGGAGGGUCACCACCUUGUCCCAGGUUGCUGGGACCUUCCCUGUUUUAAAACAAAAGUCUGUGUCUCCGAGGUUCCCUCAAUCCAGGUCAAUUGAGGUGGUUGGGAGUCCUACGUAGAGGAGGCUGUUGUGGCUUUUUGGAGUCAACCCUCCCACCAGUGGAGGUAUAUCGCCUGUGUUCCUUUCACGCUUGCCAUGCGCUCUGCUUAGGAGCAUUGCCUGCUCCUAGUUCUGCGAAAUGUGCGGUCCACCCCCAGCUUCUAAAUGCCGAGGUCUCUUUCCCCUCUACAUAGAUUCUCAUGCGUGACUUCACACUCUCCUUCCCCUUUCUUCUCCCUCCUCCCCAUCCAGUGCGUGAGAAUCACAUGUCCCUUGUGCUGACAAACUCUGAGCUUGCAGACCCAUCCCACGUGACCUGGAUGGCUCCACCUUCAGCAACAGCACAUCUGGUGUCUCUCAGGUGGAAGGGAGACACCAUCACUGUCGCUGGCUGUCACUUGGUAGAGCCACGUGUCAAACGUUGUUCAUGGACGAUUCCCUCUAUGCCGAAGGCAGUGGGGAUGGGAUGGCCGGUGCUGCUUUCUCCAAAGAAAUAGUCACAAAUCUGUCUCACUUUCCUGUUCCAUCAACAACCCACCAUUUUAAGGGGGCGGUGGGCAGCGCCCAUGGCUUGUGGAAAUUCCCCGGCCAGGGAUCAAUCCUGUGCCACAGCAGCAACCAAAGCCACUGCAGUGAUAACACCAGAUCCAUAACCCCCUGUGCCACAGUGGGAACUCCAACAACCCACCAUUUUAUAGCCACAAAGUGGGUACAGAGUCAAAGGGUCCUGAAACGGUCUUUUUCUGUUUCAAUUGAAGACAUAUAUUGGCAUGACAUUCACAUUGGUAUCUGACCAUCAAUCUAAUAUCUGUCAUUUCAGGGUCUUCAUAACAUCCUAUUUCUGUAUUUACAUAGAAUAGCACUGGAAGGGAUAUAUAAGAAAUAGUGAUUGACAGCAGAACAAAUCCAACUAGGAACCAUGAGGUUGCGGGUUCGAUCCCUGGCCUCAAUCAGUGGGUUAAGGAUCCGGCGUUGCCAAGAGCUGUGGUGUAGGUUGCAGACGCAGCUCAAAUCUGGUGUUGCUGUGGCUGUGGUGUAAGCCGCUGAAUCAAUAAAACAGAAUGGAAGGUAUUGAAACAAACUCUAGGAUGUAUAUGAACAUACUCUGUGCUAAAGGUGUACCUCCAAUUAACAGGAGGGACUAGAUUAUUUAAUAAGUUGUAUCAGGCCAGCCAUUUGGAGAAAUGCAAUGUUAGGUCUCUUGCUCACUCUGAAACCAAACCAAACCAAACCAAUCACAGACAGACUGAAAAUUUGAACAAAAGAAAGAAAAUCAUAAUAGCAAUAGCUAAAAACAACUGAACAGUCUUACAGUCUUGACUUGCGAAGGAAUCGAGUAUGAUAAAAGCAGAGAAGUUACAAAGAAGUUGAAUAACUAACUACAUAGAAAUUAAAGCGUGAAAACUUCCCCAAAGUAAAUGACAAUAAAACUUAUACACAUACAUACAUGCACAGAAAAAUUAUCCACAAAGCUAUGUACCACGGUGUUCUAGUGAUAUUACACAGGUGAUUUUAAUUUUCCAUUUUUUAUUAUCUCCUGGGUUUUUUCUUGAAAUUAAUAUGUAUGAUUUAAUAAAAAACUUAUUUUAGCUUGCAUCAGAAAUAAUUUGUGAUAUGUUAUGAUAAUGAAAAAACUCCCUAUUGAAACAUCAUUUUCCAGUAAAACAUAGACUAACUAUGUUUGCUUAGGCAAAGGAGAUGUUUUCACAGCAGGUAUUUCAUCCCUGUGGUCCUGUUCCUCCUAUUCCUGGAGUUACUGAUCUUCAUCAAGAAAACAGCUGAAACUUGAAUCCUUCAGUGCGCUUACUUACUUGAGCUGAUGUUAAUAGACCACUGUCCACAAUGACAUUUGAGACAGGUUCUGUUGACGAACCUGAAAUUGGAAGCCUUGGUUAUAAGCAACUCCCAAGAGCAUGCUAUUGUGAAGGGUGUGUGUGCUCUCAUUGAUUUAUUUCCACACCCAGGUUAAAUUUUUCUAAUUCCAGCUUGCCAGAGAGGAGGGCAAGGCAGAUACUUUUAGCCAGAAAGUUCAGAGAAGGGGAAAUUAUGGUUAUAUUGCUUCAAAAAAUCAACACUUUCAGUAUUUGGAAAUUGUAACAAGUACUUAUAAUCCACAAAAGAAAAGCUCAAUAUGGGAUAAAGUACUAAUAAGGACCACAAAACAGAUAGGAAGAUGUUGCAUUAACAGUGGUGAUAGUGAUUCUUACUCACAGCCUGCCCAGUGCCAGGCACUGUGUUGUAGGCUUUAUUACAUUCUCUCUAGCCAGGAGUAACUUCUUUAAAAAGAAGCUUCUGAAUUACUUUUCAUAAAAAAUGGUUUCAUAAAAAUUCAUUUUUUUGAGACUUCUCUAGCUCAUCACAUUAUCCAGAAAAUUAUUGCUGAGUAUAGACAUAAAUAAUAAUAAAGGUCCUAAUACCUAUCAAAAUUUCUCUAGGAAGUUCUGAAAUAUAAAUGAAGAUCUUUGGACUGUUUCAUUUCCCAGAGCAAAAAACAGAGUUUAUAGCAGAGUCAAACACUUAAAUUCCUGCAAGGAGUUGGGAGACGAAGUUGAUGCCGCUGAGAGCUAGUAUUUAAUGAGCCCUUAUUUUAGGUCAGGCACUAUUCCACAUGCUUGCCAUGUGUGAAUUAAUUUAAUCUAUCAGCAACUCUAGGAGGAGUUUCAGGUACUAUCUCUGUUUUAAGAGAAUGAACCUGAAACAGAAAGAAAUUUUAAAAUUCUCAGAUGGCACAGCUCGUGAGUGAUGAGGCUGGCGACUGAGCCCAAAUAGUCUGGUUCUAGGCUCUUACACAACACACCAUGCCUUGGAGAUCCCUAGCCCAGAUCCCUUUGGAGUGAGCUAAGGGGAGGUGGUUAUCACGUUAUCAGAUUUGUAGAAAUAGUUCUGCAGCCUGUCACCAGUGUGUCUGAGAUGAAUAAUUGAAACAACUAUUUGGGCAAAAUCAGCCCCAUAUUCUAACAUUGAAUUAAACAAAAGUGGGGUGCCUGCAUUGCCAGGAUAUUGUCUUGGGAUUUUAUUAUCCUUUGCCAUGAUACCUACAGGGAUGGGCACCUUUCUUUGGACACCCCCUUCCUCUGUGACUCUGAAGGACCAGAUUUUCACUUGGUGUCAUUGUUCUUUCCCUGGGAAGGCUAGUUUGCCUUUUAUCUAAAUCAGUGAGAGACAGACCGGAAUAGCAACCCUGAAGCAAUGUAGGGUAUACAUACUUAUUGCACAUUCAGAAAUCUGAAUUCCUGCUGUAUAAACGAUGUGCUGUUUCCAGAAACAGCCGAGUCCACGUAAUGCAGUGACUUGAGCAGUCUGACCUAACUCCCCAACUGAUUAGUUCUGAGACCUUGGGAAAGUAGCUUUACUUCCCUAUGGCUCAGUUUUCUCAUCUGCAAGAUGGGGAUAAAACACCCCUACUUAACCAAGUUGUUGAGAGGGUCAAAGGAGAUACCAGGUCUGGUAAGCACUCCAUAAUUGUUAGCUGUUACUGUUUGCGUCAUCAACUUCUUUUUCAAUAUUUCAUCAUACUUAGCCAGCACCUACUCUGUUGUCAUCAUUCUUUAGCAUUAAAAGCGAAUUUUUCUUUGACUGCUUCUGUGGCAUGUGGAAGUUCUUGGGCCAGAGAUUGAACCUAAGCCACUGCAGUGACCAUGCAAGAUCCUUAAUUCACUGAGUCUAAAAGUAACUUUCAAUGUGAAAAUCAUCUUGCUUUUAGUUUUUAGUUUUUAAGUAUGGACAAAGAGAUGUUGAGACAUUAGACUGUGGAAUUUUCCAUCUGAAGCAUCUUACAAAUUUGAACUAACAAGAAAGGACAAGACAAGAUGAUAAUGAGGAAAGACCAUCCCACAAAGCAUCCGUGUGGCCAGAACUCCUGCAAUAAAUGCAAAGCACAUAAGACAAAUGUCCCCUUAUGUCACAGCUGAAAACUGUAACAUAAAUAUUUUUGUCAGUUGGCUUUAUUCUACAGAUGUUUUUGAGUAUUUGUUGUUGAAACAGCCAAUCCACUCCUGAAUUAAAAAAAAAAAAAAAAA
rnacentral:lncRNA from 1 species